rnacentral:misc_RNA from 1 species
AACGCACCUUGCGCUCUUUGGUAUUCCGAAGAGCAUGCCUGUUUGAGUGUCAUGAAAAUAUCAACCUUGACUUGGGUUUAGUGCUCUUGUCUUGGCUUGGAUUUGGCUGUUUGCCGCUCGAAAGAGUCGGCUCAGCUUAAAAGUAUUAGCUGGAUCUGUCUUUGAGACUUGGUUUGACUUGGCGUAAUAAGUUAUUUCGCUGAGGACAAUCUUCGGAUUGGCCGAGUUUCUGGGACCUUUGUCCGCUUUCUAAUACAAGUUCUAGCUUGCUAGACAUGACUUUUUUAUUAUCUGGCCUCAAAUCAGGUAGGACUACCCGCUGAACUUAA